UGCCGCAAGAGGUAAAGUUCAGUGCUGCUGCCUGUAAAAGUUCAGUGUACACAUUUAAAUUCAGUGUUGCUGCAUGUGCUCCCAACUUUUGAUGAACUUGAAGCUCAAAUUUAAACUGAAGUUCAAAUUCCUGUGUGAUCUUCAACUGCAGCAGCCUGUGUGGAUCCACAAGACUGCACUUAUGUUUGUGUAUGUGUGGCUUUGAUGAAAUGCUUGCUUGCUGAAAUUGUAGCAGCAACAACAACUACGGCUCAAUGAUGAAUGAAUGAUGAACAUAUUAUAGUGGUCAGAUUAGUUCAGACAUUGCUGCUGAGAAACAUGUAUAGUGGUUUCAAGUAUUGCACUGCUGUUGAAUGAUGAACAGAUUAUAGUGGUCACAUGUUUAGAUUAGUUCAGACAUUUCUAGAUAACAUAACAACGAAACAAUCCUGUUUCUUGAA
rnacentral:lncRNA from 1 species